CACACUGGCCGCUCGUUUUACAGCCUAACACAUGCAAGUCGAACGGUAACAGGAAGCAGCUUGCUGCUUCGCUGACGAGUGGCGGACGGGUGAGUAAUGUCUGGGAAACUGCCUGAUGGAGGGGGAUAACUACUGGAAACGGUAGCUAAUACCGCAUAACGUCGCAAGACCAAAGAGGGGGACCUUCGGGCCUCUUGCCAUCGGAUGUGCCCAGAUGGGAUUAGCUAGUAGGUGGGGUAACGGCUCACCUAGGCGACGUGUCCCUAGCUGGUCUGAGAGGAUGACCAGCCACACUGGAACUGAGACACGGUCCAGACUCCUACGGGAGGCAGCAGUGGGGAAUAUUGCACAAUGGGCGCAAGCCUGAUGCAGCCAUGCCGCGUGUAUGAAGAAGGCCUUCGGGUUGUAAAGUACUUUCAGCGGGGAGGAAGGUGUUGAGGUUAAUAACCUCAGCAAUUGACGUUACCCGCAGAAGAAGCACCGGCUAACUCCGUGCCAGCAGCCGCGGUAAUACGGAGGGUGCAAGCGUUAAUCGGAAUUAACUGGGCGUAAAAGCGCACGCAGGCGGG
rnacentral:rRNA from 1 species